UACGUAGGGUCCGAGCGUUGUCCGGAAUUAUUGGGCGUAAAGGGCUCGUAGGCGGUUUGUCGCGUCGGGAGUGAAAUCAUCUGGCUUAACUGGGUGCUUGCUUUCGAUACGGGCAGACUAGAGGUAUGCAGGGGAGAACGGAAUUCCUGGUGUAGCGGUGAAAUGCGCAGAUAUCAGGAGGAACACCGGUGGCGAAGGCGGUUCUCUGGGCAUGAUCUGACGCUGAGGAGCGAAAGUGUGGGGAGCGAACGGG
rnacentral:rRNA from 1 species